UACAGAGGUGGCAAGCGUUGUUCGGAAUUACUGGGCGUAAAGGGCGCGUAGGCGGCCAUCUAAGUCAGACGUGAAAUCCCCCGGCUUAACCUGGGAACUGCGUCUGAUACUGGACGGCUUGAGUGCGGGAGAGGGAUGUGGAAUUCCAGGUGUAGCGGUGAAAUGCGUAGAUAUCUGGAGGAACACCGGUGGCGAAGGCGGCAUCCUGGACCGGUAUUGACGCUGAGGCGCGAAAGCUAGGGGAGCAACCGGG
rnacentral:rRNA from 1 species